rnacentral:rRNA from 1 species
UACGAAGGGGGCUAGCGUUGCUCGGAUUUACUGGGCGUAAAGGGCGCGUAGGCGGUUCGUACAGUCAGACGUGAAAUUCCUGGGCUCAACCUGGGGGCUGCGUUUGAUACGUGCGGACUUGAGUGCGGAAGAGGGUCGUGGAAUUCCCAGUGUAGAGGUGAAAUUCGUAGAUAUUGGGAAGAACACCGGUGGCGAAGGCGGCUCACUGGCUCGUAACUGACGCUCAUGCACGACAGCGUGGGGAUCAAACAGG